GACGAACGCUGGCGGCGUGCUUAACACAUGCAAGUCGAACGGAAAGGCCCUGCUCUUGUGCGGUGCUCGUGUGGCGCACGGGUGAGUAACACGCGAGUAACCUGCCCUUGACUUUGGGAUAACUUCAGGAAACUGGGGCUCAUAUCCGAUAUGAGCUCCUGCUGCACGGUGGGGGUUGGAAAGUUUCGGCGGUUGGGGAUGGACUCGCGGCUUAUCAGCUUGUUGGUGGGGUAGUGGCUUACCAAGGCUUUGACGGGUAGCCGGCCUGAGAGGGUGACCGGCCACAUUGGGACUGAGGUAGGGACCAGACUGAUACGGGAGGCAGCAGUGGGGAAUAUUGCGCAAUGGGCGGAAGCCGGAUGCAGCAACGUCGGGUGCGGAAUGACGGCUUUCGGGUUGUAAACCGCUUUCGCCUGUGACGAAGAGUGAGUGACGGUAAUGGGUAAAAAAGCAACGGCUAACUACGUG
rnacentral:rRNA from 1 species